rnacentral:rRNA from 1 species
AAAUCAGUUAUCGUUUAUUUGAUAGUACCUUACUACUUGGAUAACCGUGGUAAUUCUAGAGCUAAUACAUGCUAAAAACCCCGACUCACGGAGGGGUGUAUUUAUUAGAUUAAAAGCCAAUGCCCUUCGGGGCUCACUGGUGAUUCAUAAUAACUUGUCGAAUCGCAUGGCCUUGCGCCGGCGAUGGUUCAUUCAAAUUUCUGCCCUAUCAACUUUCGACGGCUGGGUCUUGGCCAGCCAUGGUGACAACGGGUAACGGAGGGUUAGGGCUCGACCCCGGAGAACGAGCCUGAGAAACGGCUAUUACAUCCAAGGAAGGCAGCAGGCGCGCAAAUUACCCAAUACCGAUUCGGUGAGGUAGUGACGAUAAAUACUGAUACAGGGCUCUUUUGGGUCUUGUAAUUGGAAUGAGUACAAUUUAAAUCCCUUAACGAGGAACAAUUGGAGGGCAAGUCUGGUGCCAGCAGCCGCGGUAAUUCCAGCUCCAAUAGCGUAUAUUAAAGUUGUUGCAGUUAAAAAGCUCGUAGUUGAACCUUGGGCCUGGCUGGCCGGUCCGCCUCACCGCGUGCACUGGUCCGGCCGGGUCUUUCCCUCUGGGGAACCGCAUGCCAUUCACUUGGCGUGUCGGGGAACCAGGACUUUUACUUUGAAAAAAUUAGAGUGUUCAAAGCAGGCCUAUGCUCGAAUACAUUAGCAUGGAAUAAUAGAAUAGGACGUGUGGUUCUAUUUUGUUGGUUUCUAGGACCGCCGUAAUGAUUAAUAGGGACAGUCGGGGGCAUCAGUAUUCAAUUGUCAGAGGUGAAAUUCUUGGAUUUAUUGAAGACUAACUACUGCGAAAGCAUUUGCCAAGGAUGUUUU